rnacentral:rRNA from 1 species
UAACGGCGAGUGAAGCGGCAACAGCUCGAAUUUGAAAUCUGGCCUCGGCCCGAGUUGUAAUCUGUAGAGGACGCUUUUGGCGCGGUGCCUUCCGAGUUCCCUGGAACGGGACGCCACAGAGGGUGAGAGCCCCGUAAGGUCGGACACUAAGCCUCUGUAAAGCUCCUUCGACGAGUCGAGUAGCUUGGGAAUGCUGCUCUAAGCGGGAGGUAAACUUCUUCUAAAGCUAAAUACUGGCCAGAGACCGAUAGCGCACAAGUAGAGUGAUCGAAAGAUGAAAAGCACUUUGAAAAGAGGGUUAAAUAGUACGUGAAAUUGUUGAAAGGGAAGCGCUCAUGACCAGACUUGCGCCUGGCGGAUCAUCCGGUGGUCUCCACCGGUGCACUCCGCCUGGCGCAGGCCAGCGUCGGCUGUUGCGGGGGGACAAAAGCUCUGGGAACGUAGCUCUCUCCGGGGAGUGUUAUAGCCCUCUGCAGAAUACCCCCGCGGCGGCCGAGGUCCGCGCUCUGCAAGGACGCUGGCGUAAUGGUCAUCAGCGACCCGUCUUGAAACACGGACCAAGGAGUCGAGGUUUUGCGCGAGUGUUCGGGUGCAAAGCCCCAGCGCGUAAUGAAAGUGAACGCAGGUGAGAGCUUCGGCGCAUCAUCGACCGAUCCUGAUGUAUUCGGAUGGAUUUGAGUAGGAGCGUAAAGCCUCGGACCCGAAAGAUGGUGAACUAUGCCUGUAUAGGGUGAAGCCAGAGGAAACUCUGGUGGAGGCUCGCAGCGGUUCUGACGUGCAAAUCGAUCGUCAAAUAUGGGCAUGGGGGCGAAAGACUAAUCGAACCAUC